rnacentral:snRNA from 1 species
AGACUAUCAUGAUCUGGCUGUAAUAUUUGUGACCACACUGAUGGCCAGGAUUGAUAGCUGAUCUCUCUCACUAGGUGAGUAUCCCCCCUNUGUCCCCACUCUAUGUGUAUCNCUCUCAAAGCUGAGUGCUCAGUAGAAGAGAUUGUGUUUCCACUGUAGAAGAGUAUUCUUUGGUCAAUGGCGCAUGAAUCACUGUACCUGACUCUUAUCCCAUGUAAAAGCUCCAAAAGAGCUCUCAGGACUAGCCAACCUAAUAAAAAUUUUAAUGAAAGAUAUGUGAUUCCACAGU